GGCUCCAUGGUCAAGCGGUUAAGACACCGCCCUUUCACGGCGGUUACAGGAGUUCGAACCUCCUUGGAGUCACCA
rnacentral:tRNA from 1 species